rnacentral:lncRNA from 1 species
GUUUUUAUAUAACUAUUUUAAUAAAAUAUCAUAUUUCCAAUUUUUCACAUUUUAAUGUGUAUAAAAUUAGGUUGUUUUUUACAAUUUGUCAAAAUAAACUUAUCAUUGCCUGAAUAUAUACAAAUUAUAUAUUACUGUUAUAAAAGCCUGUCUGUGACAGGGAUAGAUAAGAUGUAUUGCUUUAAGCAAUGCAAAUAUUAUCGCAGCAUGAUCACGUAUCUUUUUUCUCAGCAAAUGGCACUAUUUUUUAAUCUUGAUUGCUAAGUGGAUGGAGUGAUACCCUGCUAUAGACUGUUUACAUCAAAGGAUGGCAAACUGUUCAGAAUGGCAAUCAACAGCACAGGCUGAGACCACUAAAUUUAAUUAAUAUGGGUCUCAUUCCUCUUUCCAAGGAAUGAGACCCAUAUUUGAGCCCAGAUCCUUUGGAUGGAAAGCCAUAGAGUUUCCAGAUAGUCUGACCAACAACACAAAAAAAUUUGGACUAAAUUAAAAUAUCUGUUGAAUUUCAGCCCACUAUAUUGGAUCUGUC